ensembl:snoRNA
CUGCACUGAUGAUUGUAGAUGUGACUGACCUGGAAUUGCUGGCUUCCGAGUUGGCUCUGUUCAGGAAAUGACCUCAGUUAAUCUUCUCUCUGAGCAA